GGUGUCUCUCUAGAGGAAAACAGUUCCCUUCAUUCCUGCUUCAACUGAAAACAUGUUAGUUUCAGCUCCACUGCUGCUGCUGACUGCUGCCUCCUAUGUGUUCUGUGCUACUGAGUUCAUCCAGUCAGGCCCAGUGGUUGUUAAGCCAGGAGAUCCUUUAACCAUCACCUGUAGAGUGACUGGAGCUUCUAUCACUGACAGCAGCAGCCACUAUGGAACAGGCUGGAUUCGACAACCUGCAGGAAAAGCUUUGGAAUGGAUCAACAGCAUUGAUUAUGAUGGUGACAUAUAUAAGAAGGAUUCACUGAAAAACAAGUUUGUUGUCUCUCGAGACACCUCCAGUAACACAAUAACCCUUCAAGGGCAGAAUCUGCAGGCUGAAGACACAGCUGUGUAUUACUGUGCUCGAUAUCCACAGUGCUAA